AGUCUCAGGGCAGUUGGGUUUCUUGUGUGCUGGCUCAGGGCUCCGGAGAGGAUAACAUCAGAAUAUCUUGUUCUUCCUCAGGCUUGGGCCCAGACUAGCACAGCAUCAUUAUCUUUUUAUUCUGUGAGUUAACAUAUUUCAGAGGACCAGUGCAGAUUCAGAGUGGAGAGGGCUGCAUAAGAACACGAACACUGGGAGGUGGCUUCAUUUGGGGCCAUCUUUGGAGACCAACUAUGAUGCAUGAUGUAACUGACCUGAAUUCCCAAGCCCCUACCCCCAGCUCCAGCAUAAGACAGACUGCGGAACUGCCCAUGAGGCCAAGCACCUAUUAGUAGACCAAGAAGCAUCACCCAUCCAUGGCCUAAGUCGGCAGCCAGCUAUUGUUCUCAUCUGAGUCUGGGAGUUCAGGAUUUCCAUCCUGACCCGGCUACUUUCUUUCAACAGUUACCCA
rnacentral:lncRNA from 1 species